rnacentral:rRNA from 1 species
AUGAUAACUGGGAUGUUUAGUUGGUACAUGCCCGGAGGCAAGGCAGAAGGGGUUAAAUCUAAUGUUGAAUGCUGUUCCACCACUUGGUUUUCACUCUUAUGUGGAGAGUUUCGUCACUACGAGCUGCUCUAUUCAUUGUAUGAACUGGGGAAGGCUGAAUAUGCUUCUAUUUUUAGCAUUAGUAUCGCAGUAUUUGACAGUUCUGUUCCCUGGCCAGGGCUAAGGGGCUUUGCCUCCUGCCACUGCAUACAAGACCCCCUGGCACACUUAGCAGGAUUUGAUAAUUUUGUUCUCUUGUUUUGGUCUUAG